rnacentral:tRNA from 1 species
GUGGAUGUAGCUCAAUGGUGGAGUCCCAGACUGUGGAUCUGGUUGUUGCGGGUUCAAGUCCCGUCAUCCACC